GCUCACCCCCGUCACUUUCUCGCUCACCACCGGCGUAGUAGUCAUCCUCGACGCCGUAAGGCACAAAUGGGCAUCCCGGCGGGAGUAGUCAUCCUUGACGUCGUCAGCUCUGUACAAGGCACCAAUCGUAUCUUCGACGGCCACAAGUUCUCCUACUAUGCCUCCGUCGCCUCCGCCAGCAUUGUUUGGCUGGCAAGGUCACGUCACCAGGGACUCCAUAUUCAUCGCCAAAGAAUUCCGACUUCAGGUGACCUCCCUGCUGCCGUUUGCUUUUGCCGCUGCCCUGCGUCGACGACUUUCAGUUGGCUGAUUACCGAUGUGAUUCUUCUGAAAACUCUGCAGGAACAGAGUAGCAUAGCGGGGCUAGCAGCGACAAGUAGCAACAGCAGGGACGAGCUCAGGAGGAAAAUCAGACCUCCUUUUGUUGAAUACAGAGCAAGCUAGAGAACAUACAAAAAUACAAAGCAAAGCUUCACCGAAGUGCACGAAUUGUUUAAUAAGUACGGUUGCUGCAAUGAAUUAACGACCUAGGAGCUGUUUGGUUACAACGAGGUAAUUCAUUAUUCAGGUUUGUUCACAAUUAUUUAAUUUUCACUGUUUUGGAUCCUGUACUAUGCACAAUAUAAUUUGUAGAAUGUUUUAUCUUUGCAAAUAAGGGAAAUAAUGAUCCAAAAUUGGAGAAGAUGGUGAAAACCAAAUGUUUAUGUGAUUUGAUAUGAUGUACUUAGUAAUUAACUUUCCCUACCUACAUCUUUUAAAAGUGUCUAUAUCAUGUUUUCGUCAGCUCCGGCAUCUUCAAGAGCUUUGUCAUGCCCUAUUAUUUUCAAUUUAGUCUGUGUCCGCAUCAACUGAAUUCGGUCGGUUCAAUUCAAUUCAUCAAUUUUUUGUAUAUUUGAUGCAUUAUUAACCAUAGCAACGCACGGGCAUUUAUUUGUGGGACUUGAUGCCGGAUAUAGACAAAUUGCAUGUUUUCUUAGGGCAUCUGCAAUUGAUGGACGCCAGGAUUUAUUUCCCGAUAGACCGGCAGUUGCGUUAGUUGUUCCCAGUGUGCCCGGUACCAAUAGAUGCAUUGAGCGCUUUCUCUUUUCCUGGGCACGCGAGUAAAGAAACGGGUAGCCGGGCCUACGUAUUUAGAGCUGCUGAUAAGCGCCUAGCAUUGAAUGAGAAGGCGCUUACUUUUUUCUUAAUUUUUUGAUGUUUAACUUUUUACUCUUAAGUGCCUACACAAGAGUCUAGCAUUGCAGAUGUCCUUAAGCUAUAGGCUAUCGUAGUGGUUUUACCAAUCACAAAUAAGCGACCAAUGAUGAAACAAUAGUACAAAUUUAGAGCACAAUACAUCAUGAUCUAUUGGAAAUUACAUGUUCCAUAUUUGACAUAUCAACCAGUCAAAGUGGCCAAACUUGAGCAUAUAGUUAAUCGAGCACGAAACAGUUCAUUGAGUGCGAGCUUUGUUGACAGCCCUACCGGUUGGAGGUAAACAAAUACCUUUCCCCCCUUUUUUCAUAAAAUCAAAUGCUUGUACUAAUGUUGAUUCCAUGCAUUUUCAUACAUUAUUCAACAUUUUUGUGCGUUAGUAAAAAAGCCACUCUUUUAAUUCACAUUAUUGAGCUAGGAAAAUGGACAGAAUUAUUCUUUUUGUCCCGUUGCAACGCACGGGCUCUUUUGCUAGUAUUUAACUAUAUAUAGAAGUAGUUCCCUUAUCGACGUCGACAAAAGGUGGCUGCGGUGACACAUCCGACAAAAGCAUAUGAGAGAUACUUCUUGAACGAUACAGAUGAGCUGAAAGAAACGAGUAAAUUAAUUGUUGGCCGAACUUAUUACAAGUACCAGAGGAGGUCUCGGGGAGAAUAAAAGCUUUCAUUACAUUGGCCCGACUUGUUACAAGUACACACGCUUACAUUUGUUUUGUUGAUUCUCAUCUAGGUCAUGUGUUUUGCUCAAAGAUGUCUUUUCAAGCCAUGUGUCAUAUAUUUUUAGUUUUUUACACGGAAAUUCAUGGAUAAUUUUAUGUGUCAUCGGCCCGUUUUGUUUAUUCUAACAAGCGAAGUUUAGCCGCCCGACAUGGUCGCCUAUCCUUUAAUUUCAAGUUAGCUUAGACAAACCCACCCUUUGAUAUGCAAUGUUUAAGCACCCAUCACCGCGAUGGACAACUAUAGUGGCGAGCCAAAUUUUGACAUGUGAGAAGAGAAGGUGUCACCUGUCAACAUCACCCAUCGUGGAGUGGUAUGACCACAACGGGCCAUGUUGCUCCUAUUCCUCACGUGGGUCGGUGAAUAGCAGGCAAACACACACCCUCUAUGAGAGUGCAUGCUAUAUGGCCAGCUCGUUCUUGUUUCGUCCCCAUCGGUUUUGGUUUCAAGAACCUUUCUCGAACCGGUUUUUUUCCUUUUUUCUAUGUUGUUUUCUAUUUGGUAUUUUUUCGCUUUUCGGUUAUUCUUUUCUAUUUCUAUUUGGUUUUUGUUUCCUUUUUAUUUUUGGUUUUCAUUUCAUGAGCAUUUCUUGAAAAAUGAAGUAUUUUUUGCAAUGGCGAACAUUUUUCAAAUAUGUGAAAGAUUUUUGAAAUUUUCAAAUAUUUAUAAAUUUCAUGAUAUUUUCUCGAAUUCAUGAUCAUUUUUUGAAACUUGGGAUCAUUUAAAAAAGUGAUGAAUAUUAUAGACAUACGAGAAUAAUUUUUCAAAUUAGUGACCAUGUUUUAGAAUUAGGGAACAAAUUUUCAAAUUCAUAAAUAUUUUCUGAAAUUUAGGAAUAUUUUCAACUUCAAGACCAUUUUAUGAAUUUCGGAACACUCUUUUUCAAAUUUGUUCACAGCUUUGCCAUUCGGAAUAAAAAUUCAAGUUCUUGAAUAUGUUUUGAAAUUCAAGUACAUUUUCUGAAUUUCUGAGAAUUUUUCGAAAUGCAGGAAUGUUUUUAUAAAAAAUAACUUUUUAAUAAUUGAAGGCAUUUUCAAAUUCAUCAACAUUUUUUUUUCCAAAUUUGAAUUAAUUUUCAAAUGUUGAACAUCAAAAUUCAAUAUAUUCUUAAAUUUCAUUAACAUUUUCAAAUUCGUGCACGUUUGAUGGUUAUUCUCAGACCCACACACUGUAUAGGAGCUCCCUAUGGGCCUCUAGUCAACCUUGCUGGAAAUUUUUAUUACGGCCUAGAAUGUCAUUGAUCACAGCUUUGGGCUGGAAUUUUCUACAUAAAGUCAGUCUUGACCAUGUGCGACAACGAUGGGCCCUAAAAGUGAAUGGUGUUUUUUUCGCAAGAUGAAGCAUCUCGAAGGAAUAUCCAUUGCAUGCGGACGGUCCGGUUCUUGUUGCAUACUCAAGUCAACACGAGGUCCGGUUCUUGUUGCAUACUCAAGUC
rnacentral:lncRNA from 1 species